rnacentral:rRNA from 1 species
GCCAUCAUUCAAUUGGGCACUCUAGCGAGACUGCCGGGUAAUAAACCCGGAGGAAGGUGGGAGUGACGUCAAAUCAUCAUGCCCCUUAUGACCUGGGCUACACACGUGCUACAAUGGUUGGUACAACGAGUUGCGAGUCGGUGACGGCGAGCUAAUCUCUUAAAGCCAAUCUCAGUUCGGAUUGUAGGCUGCAACUCGCCUACAUGAAGUCGGAAUCGCUAGUAAUCGCGGAUCAGCACGCCGCGGUGAAUACGUUCCCGGGCCUU